GACGAACGCUGGCGGCGUGCUUAACACAUGCAAGUCGAACGAAGAGCGACGGAAGCUUGCUUCUAUCAAUCUUAGUGGCGAACGGGUGAGUAACGCGUAAUCAACCUGCCCUUCAGAGGGGGACAACAGUUGGAAACGACUGCUAAUACCGCAUACGAUCUAACCUCGGCAUCGAGGAUAGAUGAAAGGUGGCCUCUACAUGUAAGCUAUCACUGAAGGAGGGGAUUGCGUCUGAUUAGCUAGUUGGAGGGGUAACGGCCCACAAAGGCGAUGAUCAGUAGCAGGUCUGAGAGGAUGAACGGCCACAUUGGGACUGAGACACGGCCCAGACUCCUACGGGAGGCAGCAGUGGGGAAUCUUCCGCAAUGGACGAAAGUCUGACGGAGCAACGCCGCGUGAGUGAUGACGGCCUUCGGGUUGUAAAGCUCUGUUAAUCGGGACGAAAGGCCUUCUUGCGAAUAGUGAGAAGGAUUGACGGUACCGGAAUAGAAAGCCACGGCUAACUACGUG
rnacentral:rRNA from 1 species